rnacentral:lncRNA from 1 species
UAAAUAUACAGAUUGUGUACCCGAAACAACAAAAUCAAUCAAAACGGACACACACACAUGCACAUGUAUAUAAUCAAGUAAAAUUUGGGCAAAGAUAUUAAUUAUAUACCUAAGCUAUAUCAUUUUAGAAAUCUUGAAGUUUCUUGCAAUUGUUACUUCAUCAAAUUAUUUUUAGGCAUUUUUUCAUAUAUAUAAGAAGUUAAAAGUUAACAAGGUCUCUAUAAUCUGAAAACUAUAGAAGUUAUGCGUCAUUUGGUACAAGGGAUAAGAGAUAACUUAUUUGAGAUUAAUUUCAGGAUGAGCUUAUCCAUGUUAGGUUGGGAUAAAAUAGAUGGGAUUACUCAUUCCAAGAUUGUAUGGCACUGAUAACAUAUCCCACACUACCCUAAAAUCAAAACACACUAGUGCUCCCAUUGCUUCAUCUCUCUCUGUAUUUAUUUAACUUUUGAGUGGUAUUUUCUUCUCCUCCUUCUGUUGACCUUGUAUCCUUGAAGGAUUGGUAUUUUUGAUCUUAUAUAAUGUUGUGCAACUGCAUAUUCCUUUUAGAAUCCGCAUCAUUGCCACACUCAUCUUGUGGAUAUGCUAGACUGUCAAAGCUCAACAUUCACUGCCAUAUAACAGAGUCGUUCUUAUAAAUGUUCUAUAAGAACUACCUUUCACAUCCAUGAGUAUAAUCUUCAAUCAUAAAAUUGUUUGCUUGAUGUCUCUGUGAAUUAAAAGGUUAUGGAUACUAUUGGGGUUGGGAGUUAGCAAAUACGAAAUAAAAGUAAAAGGAAGCAUACAAAGUAAAAGGAAGGCGGUA